UACGUAGGGUGCAAGCGUUAAUCGGAAUUACUGGGCGUAAAGCGUGCGCAGGCGGUUAUGCAAGACAGAUGUGAAAUCCCCGGGCUUAACCCGGGAACCGCAUUUGUGACUGCAUAGCUGGAGUACGGCAGAGGGGGAUGGAAUUCCGCGUGUAGCAGUGAAAUGCGUAGAUAUGCGGAGGAACACCGAUGGCGAAGGCAGUCCCCUGGGCCUGUACUGACGCUCAUGCACGAAAGCGUGGGGAGCAAACAGG
rnacentral:rRNA from 1 species